CCUACGGGAGGCAGCAGUGAGGAAUAUUGGUCAAUGGGCGCGAGCCUGAACCAGCCAAGUAGCGUGAAGGAUGACUGCCCUACGGGUUGUAAACUUCUUUUAUAAAGGAAUAAAGUGAGUCACGUGUGCCUUUUUGUAUGUACUUUAUGAAUAAGGACCGGCUAAUUCCGUGCCAGCAGCCGCGGUAAUACGGAGGAUCCGAGCGUUAUCCGGAUUUAUUGGGUUUAAAGGGAGCGUAGAUGGGUUGUUAAGUCAGUUGUGAAAUGUUGGGGCUCAACCCGAAAAUUGCAAUUGAUACUGGCAGGCUUGAGUACAGUUGAGGUAGGCGGAAUUCGUGGUGUAGCGGUGAAAUGCUUAGAUAUCACGAAGAACUCCGAUUGCGAAGGCAGCUUACUAAACUGCCACUGACGUUGAUGCUCGAAAGUGUGGGUAUCAAACAGGAUUAGAUACCCUUGUAGUC
rnacentral:rRNA from 1 species